rnacentral:rRNA from 1 species
GAUGAACGCUGACGGCGUGCCUAAUACAUGCAAGUCGAGCGAACAGACGAGGAGCUUGCUCCUCUGACGUUAGCGGCGGACGGGUGAGUAACACGUGGAUAACCUACCUAUAAGACUGGGAUAACUUCGGGAAACCGGAGCUAAUACCGGAUAAUAUAUCGAACCGCAUGGUUCAAUAGUGAAAGACGGUUUUGCUGUCACUUAUAGAUGGAUCCGCGCCGCAUUAGCUAGUUGGUAAGGUAACGGCUUACCAAGGCAACGAUGCGUAGCCGACCUGAGAGGGUGAUCGGCCACACUGGAACUGAGACACGGUCCAGACUCCUACGGGAGGCAGCAGUAGGGAAUCUUCCGCAAUGGGCGAAAGCCUGACGGAGCAACGCCGCGUGAGUGAUGAAGGUCUUCGGAUCGUAAAACUCUGUUAUUAGGGAAGAACAAAUGUGUAAGUAACUAUGCACGUCUUGACGGUACCUAAUCAGAAAGCCACGGCUAACUACGUG